UCACUGUUGAGGAGUCCCACAAUAGGACGAAACAGCUGUUCAGUGC
rnacentral:hammerhead_ribozyme from 1 species